CUUGAACAGUUUUAGACGGUGCAGCCUUGCUACAUGGUGUGAGAAAUGGCUGUAGGAAACAACACUCAACGAAGUUAUUCCAUCAUCCCAUGUUUUAUAUUUGUUGAGCUUGUCAUCAUGGCUGGGACAGUGCUGCUUGCCUACUACUUUGAAUGCACCGACACUUUUCAGGUGCAUAUCCAAGGAUUCUUCUGUCAGGAUGGAGACUUAAUGAAGCCUUACCCGGGGACCGAGGAAGAAAGCUUCAUCACCCCUCUGGUGCUCUACUGUGUGCUGGCUGCCACCCCAACUGCUAUUAUUUUUAUUGGUGAAAUAUCCAUGUAUUUCAUAAAGUCAACCAGAGAAUCCUUGAUUGCCCAGGAGAAAACAAUUUUAACCGGAGAAUGCUGUUACCUGAACCCCUUACUCCGAAGGAUCAUAAGGUUCAUAGGGGUGUUUGCAUUUGGACUUUUUGCUACUGACAUUUUUGUAAACGCCGGGCAAGUGGUCACGGGACACCUAACGCCGUACUUCCUGACAGUGUGCAAACCAAACUACACCAGCACAGACUGCCGAGCGCACCACCAGUUCAUAAACAAUGGGAACAUUUGCACCGGAGACCUGGAAGUGAUAGAGAAGGCUCGGAGAUCCUUUCCCUCCAAACACGCGGCUCUGAGCAUUUACUCCGCCUUAUAUGCCACGAUGUACAUCACAAGCACAAUCAAGACAAAGAGCAGUCGAUUAGCCAAGCCAGUGCUGUGCCUCGGGACCCUCUGCACAGCCUUCCUGACAGGCCUCAACCGGGUUUCUGAGUAUCGGAACCACUGCUCUGAUGUGAUUGCAGGCUUCAUCUUGGGCACUGCUGUAGCCCUGUUCCUGGGAAUGUGUGUGGUCCAUAACUUUAAAGGAACACAAGGAUCUCCUUCCAAACCCAAACCUGAGGAUCCCCGUGGAGUACCCCUAAUGGCUUUCCCAAGGAUAGAAAGCCCUCUGGAAACCUUAAGCGCACAGAAUCACUCUGCCUCCAUGACUGAAGUUACCUGAGAAUGCUGAUGUGUCACAAGCAGUUUUUUUAUCACCCUGCAGUUCGAUACUACAAGACACACAGUUACUCAAUGUCAAACUGUGAAGACAAGUAUUAUGUUUAUCUAGUUAGAGGCUAAUGUUUUGUACAUUUUUUGUAUGAGGAAGUGGUGUAGCUUGCUCGGUUUUUUUUUUUUUUUUUUUUGUCAGCUUUAAUAUAUUUAUGCCAGAAUUUUAAAACCAACAAAAUUUUCUUGUUUAAAUGUGCAUUGAAGAACCACAUUUAUUCAAUGGUUGAUGUUGUUUUUGUGAUAUUUGUACACAAACCUUCUUUUUCAGUUUUAUAAACACAAAUAAAAUUAAUACAAUUCAUUUUAACCUUUUGUUACCACAGUUGCUGCCUCCUCCAGAAUUUUUGAAUUUUAAUGAAAGUUAAACUUUUGAGUUGCAGGGAGGACAAUGUUGGUUAAUGGUAAAUCUCAAAAUCAAUUGUGUAAAAGAAGAAACAUUACCUUCAAAAUGAACUCUGUGUUCUGAUCUUUUAACAUGCUGUUGCAUUCCACAUUAAUAGUAAUAAAUUAGUGAAGUUACUUAUUAAUACAAUUGGCAGGGAAUCUGGUAUUUGGGUUUGGUUGGGUUUGGGGUUAGAUGAUUCUUUUUUAGAUAAUGGCCUCACCCACCUAAAAAACUCAAGAUCUUUCUGGAACCAUUUCCUUGGGCAGGCAGGUGACACUGGGCAGCCUUCCGUCCAAAAAAGCAGCCAGCACCAGUCUCCUUGUCAACUCAGUUGUUUUGUAGAUCAUAUUGUAUGGGCUUUCUAUGAAAAUGAGUAUUCUACAGUUUGCACAGUAUUAUUUUACAGAAAGGGUAUCAGCAUCUACAACAUAGAGCCCCAGAGUAACAGCUUCACCUUGUGGCUUUUAAUUGUUCUAGGAUUUUUAACUGCAUCUCAUUUUUCUAGCAUGGUAAUAACUAAUGUGUACCUCCUUUGAGAUGAGGAGCUCCCUUGUCUGUACCUACCAGAAUGUUCUCUUGACACUUUCAUGUUCGCUUUUCUUAGCAUUUUUUUGUACAUAUUUUUUUUUCUAAAGAGAAAGAAAAAAUGUUAUCACAAAAUCUAUUCUGGCUCAUGUCCUCUGUUUUAAGUCUCAUCCCCUGAGCAAGGUAUUUGAAGCAUCAUAAGGAAAUGACCUCAACAAAUAUUUAUUCUUCUCAGUGUCCU